rnacentral:rRNA from 1 species
UAUCUCUGUAGAGUCUGCAUAUCAAUAAGCGGAGGAAAAGAAACUAACUAGGAUUCCCUCAGUAACGGCGAGUGAAGCGGGAAGAGCUCAAAUUUGAAAUCUUCAAGGUUCUACCUUGACGAAUUGUAGUUUAAAGAAGUGUUUUCUGUUGGAGUUUUGGUAAAAGUUCUUUGGAAUAGGACAUCAUAGAGGGUGAGAAUCCCGUAUUUGACCAUUAUUUCCAGCUUUGUGAUACACUUUCAAAGAGUCGGAUUGUUUGGGAAUGCAGUCCAAAAUGGGUGGUAAAUUUCAUCUAAAGCUAAAUACUGGCGAGAGACCGAUAGCGAACAAGUACCGUGAGGGAAAGAUGAAAAGAACUUUGAAAAGAGAGUUAAACAAUACGUGAAAUUGUCAAAAGGGAAGCGUUUGACACCAGUGUUGUUUUCUCGAAAAUCAAUUAAAAAAGGCAGGAUUUUGUGUUGUAUUGACUUUAUCAGCUUUCUGCACUCUUUUCUUGUCUUUUUUAAUGCACUUUUCGUUUAACAAGUCAACAUCAAUUUCUUUUGUUGUAAAAGGGUCAUUGGAAGGUGGCUUUCUUUUCGGAGAAAGUGUUUAUAGCCUUUGGCCUCUGCAAUCGGAGAGAUUGAGGUCUGCAGCGUAGAUCCUUCGGGGUUAGAUACAUCUGUGCUAAGUUAUAGCCUUUCAUAGACAACUUGUUGACUAUGAUCAGUCAUGUAGCUUACUCGCUUAUGCUAUUUUACCUACGCUUAGGAUGUUGACGAUCAGCUGAGCGCG